rnacentral:rRNA from 1 species
AGCUCCAGUAGCGUAUAUUAAAGUUGUUGCAGUUAAAAAGCUCGUAGUUGGAUUUCUGGUUGAGUGCGCCUGGCCCGCGGCGGUUACGUCUGUGAGUGCCGGAUGCGCGCUCGCCAUCCUGCUAGGGAACGUUUCUACCCUUCACUGGGCCGGACUCGCGAUCUAGCUCCUUUACUUUGAAAAAAUUAGAGUGUUUAAAGCAGGCUUUUGCUAUGAAUACAUUAGCAUGGAAUAAUGAUCUAGGACUUCGGUUCUAUUUUGUUGGUUUCUAGUACUGAAGUAAUGAUUGAUAGGGAUAGUUGGGGGUGCUAGUAUUGGCCGGCCAGAGGUGAAAUUCUUGGAUUCGGUCAAGACUAACUUAUGCGAAAGCAUUCACCAAGGAUGUCUUCU